GGAGAAGUAGCUCAGUGGUUAAGAGCAUUGGCUGCUCUUUCAAAAGACCUGGGUUCAACUCUCAGCCCCCA
rnacentral:tRNA from 1 species